rnacentral:rRNA from 1 species
UGGGGAAUAUUGGGCAAUGGGUGCAAGCCUGACCCAGCAACGCCGCGUGAAGGAAGAAGGCUUUCGGGUUGUAAACUUCUUUUAAGAGGGAAGAGCAGAAGACUGUACCUCUAGAAUAAGCCACGGCUAACUACGUGCCAGCAGCCGCGGUAAUACGGAGGGUGCAAGCGUUAAUCGGAAUAACUGGGCGUAAAGGGCAUGCAGGCGGUUCAUCAAGUAGGAUGUGAAAUCCCCGGGCUCAACCUGGGAACAGCAUACUAAACUGGUGGACUAGAGUAUUGCAGGGGGAGACGGAAUUCCAGGUGUAGCGGUGGAAUGCGUAGAUAUCUGGAAGAACACCAAAGGCGAAGGCAGUCUCCUGGGCAAAUACUGACGCUCAUAUGCGAAAGCGUGGGUAGCAAACAGGAUUAGAUACCCUGGUAGU